rnacentral:rRNA from 2 species
UACGGAGGGGGCCAGCGUUGUUCGGAAUCAUUGGGCGUAAAGGGCGCGUAGGCGGCCAAGCAAGUCGGAGGUGAAAUCCCUCGGCUCAACCGGGGAACUGCCCCCGAUACUGCUUGGCUCGAGUCCCGGAGAGGGUAGUGGAAUUCCCAGUGUAGCGGUGAAAUGCGUAGAUAUUGGGAGGAACACCGGUGGCGAAGGCGGCUACCUGGACGGGUACUGACGCUGAGGCGCGAAAGCGUGGGGAGCAAACAGG